ACCGAAAUAACUCAGUUGGGAGAGCGUUAGACAAUAGAUUGAAAAGUGCUUGGUUCAAUCCCGGGAUCCGGAC
rnacentral:tRNA from 1 species